AGGGCACCACCAGGAGUGGAGCCUGCGGCUUAAUUUGACUCAACACGGGGAAACUCACCCGGCCCGGACACCGUGAGGAUUGACAGAUUGAUAGCUCUUUCAUGAUUCGGUGGUUGGUGGUGCAUGGCCGUUCUUAGUUCGUGGAUCGAUUUGUCUGGUUUAUUCCGAUAACGAGCGAGACUCUAGCCUACUAACUAGUGCGGGCAUUGCUAUUGUGCCUCGCCGCACUUCUUAGAGGGAUUGGCUGCGUCUAGCAGCACGAAACAGAGCAAGAACAGGUCUGUGAUGCCCUUAGAUGUCCGGGGCUGCACGCGCGCUACACUGGCAAAGGCAGCGUGCUUGUCCAUCUCCGAAAGGAGUUGGUAAACCGAUGAAAAUUUGCCGUGAUUGGGAUCGGAAAUUGCAAUUAUUUUCCGUGAACGAGGAAUUCCAAGUAAGUGCGAGUCAUCAGCUCGCGUUGAUUACGUCCCUGCCCUUUGUACACACCGCCCGUCGCUGCCUAGAACUGAGCCAUUUCGA
rnacentral:rRNA from 1 species